rnacentral:rRNA from 1 species
UGCAGUCUGCAACUCGAGUGCAUGAAGCUGGAAUCGCUAGUAAUCGCGGAUCAGAAUGCCGCGGUGAAUACGUUCCCGGGUCUUGUACACACCGCCCGUCACACCAUGGGAGUCGGGAAUGCCCGAAGCCGGUGGCCCGAUCGAGAGAAGGGAGCCGUCGAAGGCAGGCCGGAUGACUGGGGUGAAGUCGUAACAAGGUAGC